GCAGAUUUUGGAUUAGCCAAGAUGUUGGUCAAGCAAGGAGAGCCGGACACUAUGUCAGGAGUUGAAGGCUCUUAUGGAUAUAUUGGCCCCGGUAAGACCAUCCAAGGCUUUUCUGUCCACAUGUUCUCAUUUCCAUAAUUUAUUGAUAAUUUUUAUCAAAUAAUUCUCGUAUGCUUGGAUGACAGAGUAUGCUUAUACAACAAAGGUGAAGGAGAAGAUCGAUGUAUAUAGCUUUAGAGUAGUUCUUCUUGAGCUGGUGACGAGGAGAGAACCCAAUAGCGAGCACAUGUGCCUUGUAGAAUGGGCAUGGGAUCAGUUUAGAGAAGGGAAAACCAUUGAGGAAGUGGUGGAUGAGGAGAUCAAGGAACAAUGUGACAAAGCACAAGUGACCACUCUCUUCAAUCUAGGCCUCAUGUGUAUUACCACAUUACCAUCCACUAGGCCAACAAUGAAGGAGGUUUUGGAAAUUCUUCGACAGUGUAGUCCUCAUGAGGACCAUGGAAGAAAGAAAAAGGACCAUGAAGCUGCACCCGAACAUACAUUGAGAUGUAAAGUCCAGCAACAUCUUACUAGACGCUGAGUUCAGCGCGAAAAUUGUAGAUUUUGGAUUAGCCAAGAUGUUGGUCAAGCAAGGAGAGUCGGACACCAUGUCAGGAGUUGAAGGCUCUUACGGAUAUAUUGCCCCCGGUAAGACCAUCCAAGGCCUUCCUGUCCACAUGUUCUCAUUUCCAUAAUUUAUCGAUAAUUUUUAUCAAAUAAUUCUCGUAUGCUUGGAUGACAGAGUAUGCUUAUACAACAAAGGUGAACGAGAAUAUCGAUGUAUAUAGCUUUGGAGUAGUUCUGCUAGAGCUGGUGAUGGGGAGAGAACCCAACAACGAGCACAUGUGCCUUGUAGAAUGGGCAUGAGAUCAGUUUAGAGAAGAGAAAACCAUUGAGGAAGUGGUGGAUGAGGAGAUCAAGGAACAAUGUGACAAAGCACAAGUGACCACUCUCUUCAAUCUAGGCCUCAUGUGCACUACCACAUUACCAUCCACUAGGCCAACAAUGAAGGAGGUUUUGGAAAUUCUUCGAUAGUGCAGUCCUUAGG
rnacentral:lncRNA from 1 species